rnacentral:piRNA from 1 species
UAUGGGGCCUAUGGCUAAAUGACUUUGU